AUUGAACGCUGGCGGCAGGCCUAACACAUGCAAGUCGAGCGAGCGGCGGACGGGUGAGUAAUGUAUGGGGACUUACCGAUAGAGGGGGGUUACUACUGGAAACGGUGGGCAAUACCGCAUUUUGUUGGAUAACCAAAGUGGGAUUAGCUGGUGGGUAAGGUAAUGGCGUACCUGGGCGACGAUCCAUAGCUGGUAUGAGAGGAUGAUCAGCCACACUGGGACUGAGACACGGUCCAGACUCCUACGGAGGCAGCAGUGGGGAAUCUUGCGCAAUGGGCGCAAGCCUGAUGCAGCAAUGCCGCGUGUAUGAAGAAGGCCCUAGGGUCGUAAAGUACUUUCAGUCGGGAGGCGUUACCGACACAGGAAGCACCGGCUAACUACGUGCCAGCAGCCGCGGUAAUUC
rnacentral:rRNA from 1 species